rnacentral:lncRNA from 1 species
UUUUUUUUUUUUUUUUUUUGGUCUUUUCAGGCCCUCACCCACAGCAUAUGGAAGAUCCCAGAAAAGGCAAAAAUAAAUAAAUAAAUAUAUACAUACAUACAUACAUACACAUCAUAGGACUUCAUAAUCCCAUUCCUAGGUAUUUACAAGGAUGGGAUUUUCUUCAUAAUCUCCAAAAACUGGAAACAAUCCAAACAGCCCUCAAUUUGGGAAUGUAUAAACAAAAUGUGAUACAUCCACACCAUGGCAUAAAACUCAGAAACAAAGAGAAAUGAACGACUGCUACCCACAACAGCAUGAAUGAAUUUCAAUUAUGUUACAAGAGAGCUUCUCACCUUCACCACUAUUGACAUCUGGGGCCAGAUAUUGUCCAUACAGUAGGAGCUGCCCAAGACACCGUAGGAAGUCCAACAGCAUCUCUCACCUCUAACUUACAGAUGCCAGUAGAAUUUCCACCAUGACAAAUAAUUACGUCAACCAAAAAUGUCUCCAAACUUUGCCAAAUGUCCUGUAUGGAGCAAAAUCACCCCUAGCUGAACACUACUGCGUUAUACUUAGUGAAAGAAGACAGACUCAAAAGGUAUGUCCCAUUACCUGAGACUCGAAAAAGCAAACUAAUGGGGCAAACAAGGGAUUAGUGGUUUUCAGAGGCCAGUGCUGAGGUGAGACUGAUUAUAAAAAGCAUGGGAGAAUUUCCAGGAAGUGUCCUAUAUUCUGAUUGUAGGCAUUGUCACAGGACCAUAUAAGUUUAUCAGACUCCACAGAACUGUACACAAAGUCAGCAAAUGUUUCCUAAACAUAAAUUAAAUCCUAAUUUAAAUCAAUGAAGAAAAAAAAGUAUAUAGACUAUUGAAAUUAGAAUUUUAUUAUUCGGGAGUUCCCGUCGUGGCGCAGUGGUUAACGAAUCCGACUAGGAACCAUGAGGUUGCGGGUUCGGUCCCUGCCCUUGCUCAGUAGGUUAACGAUCCGGCGUUGCCGUGAGCUGUGGGGUAGGUUGCAGACGCGGCUCGGAUCCCGAGUUGCUGUGGCUGUGGUGUAGGCUGGCAGCUACAGCUCCGAUUCAACCCCUAGCCUGGGAACCUCCAUAUGCCGUGGAAGCGGCGCAAGAGAUAGCAACAACAACAAAAAAGACAAAAAAAAAAAAAAAAAAAAAAAAAAAAGAAUUUUAUUAUUCGGAAAAAUGUUACCAACCCUGGAGUCAAUUUUAAAGAUUAAUGGAAAUGAAAAAUAUUAUAUAUAAAUAUUAAAUUUCUUAGCUUAAAAGAUGAAUAAACAUCAAAAUUCAUGGAGGAAACAAAAAGAUAAAACAAAUAGAUCACAUAACUCUAACCUCACUGGUAGUUUCUUUGUACUAUUACGUUCUAUACAGUGUUCUGUAUUCCAAAAGAGAAGUGAAAAACAAGACCAAGAAUGUAUCUUAAAUUACUAAAAAUUAAUAACCAAAUUAUACAUUACAUUAAGUAUUUUUAAAUUGAGAACUUAAAUGAUUUCAGCUUAGGAUCUGGAUCUAAAACUUUUUUAGUUAUACACUUACUUUGACAGAAAAACUAAUUUUUAAGUUAAGUUCUUAUCUCCAUACAUUAACAAUACUGACAACGCAAGCCAUAUUUGUUAUUCAGUUUCUUGUGGGGUGAUGUAAACGUUCUAAAAUGAGGGUAUAGUGAUGACUUCGCAAUCUGCAAAUAUACUAAAAACUACGAAGCUGUACACUUUAAUCAGGCUAACAUUAUGGUAUAUAAAUAUCUCAGAAAAGCUCCUAAAAGAUACUGUAUUUAUCAUUAACCUACAUUGACAAGAAUGUCAAAUAGGUAAGUUUGACAUCUAGGUGAAUUUGGUGGCUGAGAAUGGAGACAGAUGGUGAUUAAAUCACAAACAUUUUCUACGAGAAAUAACAGGUGUUUCCAUACUGCUGGAAAAUGAUGGGAAAUUUUUACUUCUAUUCAUUGGCUUUUAGAAAUCUGUCCAAGAUAAUGACUUUGACCAUCUAUUUCACCACAUACCCAACUUUUCCUUAUUUUCACUGUAUCACAUAUUGAUAUGCUUCCCACUUCAUUAUCAAAGUCACUGCUAAGCUCUAAGAAAUCUACCUCAAAGCUGAACUGCUCCCAUUAACAUUUGUUAGUCACCUACUCAUACAACAGAGCCAGAGAUAUAUUUUGAGCUCUGCAUGUCACAUCUGAUGAUGUACCUCUAUUUGCCAUUUAUUUAUUGCAUGUUCUUUUGAUAGCCAGCAUUAAAUUCCGCUCUGCAGUAUGUAACUGAGAAGAAAGUUUCUAAAGGGCCUGUUUCUAAGGCCAGCACCCCUUUGUAGAAGACAAUGGCCUCAGGGCAUAAUCAUGACCAAACCUGAAGGGGAAAGAAGAUAAGAAGCCAUAUGAAAUUUUGUAGUCCACAGAGAAACAAAUGUUUUUUAAAAGAUGAUUAUUUUCUAGGAUCUUUUAAGAAAAAUGUAUUAAAGAAUUUAUGACAGAUCAGGUCAGUUCUAUUAUCUUUCUAAAUUAAUUUGUUUAAAAGCCUGAUCUUUAAAUUUAGAAGAAUAAUGUA